rnacentral:tRNA from 1 species
GGUCCUGUGGUCUAGUGGUAUGAUUCUCGCUUAGGGUUUACUCUAAGUUCUGUAUGCGAGAGGCCCCGCGUUCGAAUCGCGGCAGGACCC